GUGCUAUUUUUUUUGAGUAGUUUUAUACCUAAUUUUCAUUUCCUCCUAACUCUCUCUUUCCCUAACACAUGAAUCUUCCCAACAUGCACACAACUUCAACUCCUUUAUUUCACUUCAUAGUUGUUGCAGCUCCUUAUUCCUUAGCCAUUGAAUCUUCUGUGUUAAUUAUUAGACCUCACUUGUCAUCAUUAUCUCCCGU
rnacentral:lncRNA from 1 species